rnacentral:rRNA from 1 species
GACGAACGCUGGCGGCGUGCCUAAUACAUGCAAGUCGAGCGGACUUUCAAGAAGCUUGCUUUUUGAAGGUUAGCGGCGGACGGGUGAGUAACACGUGGGCAACCUGCCUGUAAGACGGGGAUAACUCCGGGAAACCGGGGCUAAUACCGGAUAAUAUCUUUCUUCGCAUGAAGGAAGGUUGAAAGGCGGCGCAAGCUGCCGCUUGCAGAUUGGCCCGCGGCGCAUUAGCUAGUUGGUGAGGUAACGGCUCACCAAGGCGACGAUGCGUAGCCGACCUGAGAGGGUGAACGGCCACACUGGGACUGAGACACGGCCCAGACUCCUACGGGAGGCAGCAGUAGGGAAUCUUCCGCAAUGGACGAAAGUCUGACGGAGCAACGCCGCGUGAGCGAAGAAGGUCUUCGGAUCGUAAAGCUCUGUUGUCAGGGAAGAACAAGUACCGUUCGAAUAGGGCGGUACCUUGACGGUACCUGACCAGAAAGCCACGGCUAACUACGUGCCAGCCGCCGCCGUAA